rnacentral:tRNA from 1 species
GGGGAUGAAGCUCAGUGGUAGAGCACUUGCCUGACAUGCAGGAGGCCCUGGGUUCCAUCCCAACAUUGUUG